ensembl:lncRNA
GUAAUUUUUAAGCACCAAAAUUCUUAAAAUAAUUUAUCAAGUGACCAAUAAAACACAAAUAUUUCAUAAUUUUAAAAGAAACAGAAAAGUUUCAUAUCAAACUAACUUCUCCCUCUCUUGAUUCUUUCAUCCAAUUAUUCUGCUUUUUUAAAAGCCAAAUUUUUCCAGAUAGAUCUUCCCCUGGAAUCUUUUCACUUUCUCUCUGGCUCAAUCUCUCCCUCUGGUGUUGGUAUGCUUCAUUCAUUCUUACCAUUUAAGCCUUUGGCUAGAUGCCCGCUUUUCUCAGAAAUCCUCUACCUAAUUUUCAUGUUUAGUCUUGCCUCCCAAAUAGUGAUUCACUAUUAUUUUGCUUGCAUUCUUUUUCAGUGCUGCAGUUACUACCUGGCUAUGGCACUUAUUUGCUUACAUGUGGAUACACUGUCUGCUCUCCUAGGAAGUUAGCUUCAUAAGUGAAUGAUUAUGAGGUAUAUUAUUACUAAAUUUCUCCCUCCCUGAAUUUCCCAAAGCAUUCUCUCCCUGAAGCUGUGAAGCUCUGUUUCCCAAUGGAUGGAGACAGUCACAGCACAUUGCAGUGAAUACUGAAUGAAAGCAGAGGGACAAACAGCGGGUAUGAGUCUCUUUAGCACCACAUCAACUUAAAUCCCAAGCACAGCAAUUUUAGCAUUCUGCCUUCAGCUUAUACUUUGGGACCAAAGUAUGAUUUUUAACAACUAGUAAUUAUCCUUAAGCAUAAUUUAUCACUACAAAAUGCCAUUACAUAAAACUAAUAAUACUACUUUAUAUAGUGAUAAUAAUCUCUCACCUCAUUUCAGUACAUACAGUGGAAACUCAAGUUAUGACUGGUCAGACAAACAACUUGGGUUAAUUAGGUCAAUGGAAGAGUCAUCUGCCUCUUGUUAUCAAUAGUGUGUAACCAGGUAAACAUCCACAUCACAGCUGUAUUGACUUACAACCAACUUGAGUUAAAACCAGCCCUCAGGAACCGAUACAGUGUCUAGAGUCCACUGUAUUCAGGACUCAAGCACAUUAUAAAUAUUUAUUGUUACACAUUUACAGUAGGUAUUGUUUUUUAUUUUGUUGUAGUUUGCUUGCAAGAUUUUUUAAAAGUCCUUGAAAAUUUUAAGAUGAUAGUAUUUGUCCUUUCACUGUUAACACUAUAGUAAUACCAGUUCUACUGCAGUAAGUGCUAGACUUCCCAACAUUCGAGUUGUGAACUUUCACAGAUACAAAUGGACAUCGAAUUAUGAACAUUUGUAGAAUUAUGAACAAAUCAUGGAGGUAGCUUAGUGUCUGCCGGACACUGUCACAGUGGUGCCGUUGUGUGCUGACUGUAAGGUGUGAUCAUUUACAGUAGGGCAGUGCUCAAUCAGAGCCCAGGAUGUCCAGAAGUGAGAGAAAAAGUAGUGGUGAUGUGGAGGGGUUUGCUAGGAGGCCCAAAGCAAUAACCAUGGGAACAAAAGUGAAAAUGAUUGACUUUGGACCAAGGUGAAAAGAUGAUACACAUGGCUCUACCAUCUCCCCCUAACCUUCCUCCUCCAGUUCAUAACUUUCUUCUCAUUUCAUUCCAUACAAUCCUCUAAAUACCAUUUAUUGUACUGUACUGCACCACCAUUUUAAGGUAACUGUAAAAGUAAAAAAUGUUCAAUUACAGUAUUUGUGUGUGUGGUUUUUUAUGCUUUAAAUUGUAUAUUUGUGUCAAAGGUGUAUAAGACUCACUUUGUUGAACUUGCAAACAAAUCUGACUUAUGAACAUUCUGGAACGGAACACAUUUAAGGAAUUGAACUCAAGUCCUUGCACUUGCAAGGCAGGCAGCGGAACCACUGAGCUAAAUCCCCGGCUGAAUACAUUACUAUUAAUGAACAUCUUGCAGAAUUUCAUGGCAGCUAUAGUUUCAGGGAGUAUAAGCUAAAAAACCCCAAAAAACCAAAAUAAAAACCCCUUCAAAAUAUGGCAUAAAAAUUUAUGCCUUUGUAGAUGCGAGGACUUAUUAUCCUUUCAAUUUAGAAAUUUAUCAUGGAACUCAACCUUAUUCAUAUAGUAAUAAACUGAAUGAUGCUGUGAACAGGCUUAUUGUUCCCAUCUCCCAAACUAAUUGAAGUAUGCCAUUAGACAAUUGGUUUACCAGCUUCAAUCAAUAUUGCAUUUGCUAACAGAGCACAAAUUGACCAGCA